rnacentral:tRNA from 1 species
GCCUAAGUGCUGGAAUUGGUAGACAGUGGAUACUUAAGCUAUCCUGAGUAAUACUCAUGAGUGUUCGAGUCACUUCUUAGGUA